rnacentral:sRNA from 1 species
UUUAAUAGUCGCAGCCAUGGCUCCAUCCUUUGCCGCUUCCUUAGCUAAUUCCGUAGCCGUAGUAAUAGCAG